rnacentral:rRNA from 1 species
GAUUUCUGGCUUGAUUCGCCUGGCCCGCCACGGUUUCGUGUGUGAGUGCUGGGUCGAGUCGGCCAUCCUUCGUUUAUGAUUAACUGCUCUUUAUUGAGUAGUUAACUCGUGGACGAUCGUUUACUUUGAAAAAAUUAGAGUGUUUCAAGCAGGCUUUAGCUUUGAAUACAUGAGCAUGGAAUAAUAAAGUAGGACUUCGGUUCUAGUUUGUUGGUUUGGAGAGCUGAAGUAAUGAUGGAUAGGGACAGUUGGGGGUGCUAGUAUUCAGCGGCCAGAGGUGAAAUUCUUGGAUUCGCUGAAGACUCACUACGGCGAAAGCAUU